UGGUGAACCCGGACUAAAAUCUAUUUAGUUUUCGAUCAUCAUUAACACCAUUUGAAAAAUCCAUUUCGGAUGUUGUGGGUUUAAGAUCCGAAUUAAUCUUAACUAUAUUAUCACUAUUGAUGCUGCUAUUAUUAAUCCUAUUAUUUUCUCUAAUUUGGGAAGUGGAAGCUCUAGAUGGAAAGUAUACCACAUAAUCAGUUGGAGAGAUAUAUGAAGAAUUUGACGUAGUUAGCCUAGAUGAUAAACUGAUUUUAUAAGUUUGGAUAGGCUCAUUGAACCUAAUCUUAAUUGUGCAAUCUGAGGUUUGUUCUAUUUUUGUAACCUCAGUAUUAC
rnacentral:lncRNA from 1 species